rnacentral:lncRNA from 1 species
GUUGUAUCAUUCAUUUAAAUCUUUAUUUUGAUCAGCUUCAAUCAAAAAAAAAUUCAUAAGGUUAUUUACAGUGCUGAAUGUACAAUUUGAAUGUAUGCCUUUUUGACAUCAGGGUACCAUUCUUGAGCAGCAAUACAAUUUUAAAAAUAUAAAGAUGCAGUAUCAUUUCUGAUAUAAAGUUACUUAAAAAAAUCCAAAGUCUUAGGGAAUUCACAAAUCAUAACAGAAAGUAACUAUUAAUUUAAUGUGCACAUAAUUACCAAAUCUUAAUGCAUUAAAAAUAUGUGUAAAUGCCCACAGACUGUACAAAAAUUAACAUUUUGUUAAAAGUUCCCAACCACCUCCCACCACAAAUAUACAAAAGUCUUAUUUUCAGAUAUGUCAAAACUGCAUGCGUGAAAUCUUAGAAUGUUUUCUAAAGCUGGAAUUCUGCUCUUCUCUAGACACUGCCAUUUUGGGAACAGAGUACAUAAAGGCUGAUAUAAUUGGAAAAAAAAAAAAACUUUAAACAACCCUGAGGGAGACACACAUUAAAAAUCUUGUUAUUUAUUUAAAAAGUUAAAAAGUUACAUAUUAUUUAAC